rnacentral:rRNA from 1 species
CCGACCGUGGGGGAUAACGGAGCGAAAGCUUUGCUAAUACCGCAUACGAUCUACGGAUGAAAGCAGGGGACCNCAAGGCCUUGCGCGGACGGAGCGGCCGAUGGCAGAUUAGGCAGUUGGUGGGAUAAAAGCUUACCAAGCCGACGAUCUGUAGCUGGUCUGAGAGGACGACCAGCCACACUGGGACUGAGACACGGCCCAGACUCCUACGGGAGGCAGCAGUGGGGAAUUUUGGACAAUGGGCGAAAGCCUGAUCCAGCCAUGCCGCGUGCAGGAUGAAGGCCUUCGGGUUGUAAACUGCUUUUGUACGGAACGAAAAGACUCUGGUUAAUACCUGGGGUCCAUGACGGUACCGUAAGAAUAAGCACCGGCUAACUACGUGCCAGCAGCCGCGGUAAUACGUAGGGUGCAAGCGUUAAUCGGAAUUACUGGGCGUAAAGCGUGCGCAGGCGGUUAUAUAAGACAGAUGUGAAAUCCCCGGGCUCAACCUGGGAACUGCAUUUGUGACUGUAUAGCUAGAGUACGGUAGAGGGGGAUGGAAUUCCNCGUGUAGCAGUGAAAUGCGUAGAUAUGCG